UGAGUAUCACGAGGCUCGUAAACAGUUUCAGAGAGAAGACAAAGAAAGAAGGUUAGUGCAGUCGCCAAGGAGUAAUUCGUGCUUUUCUUACCCGCUCUCUUACAAUACUGAAAACCUGUGCAAUGGACGAUCAAGGCAAUCAGAAAUCUGAAGGGAAGCCAAAGAAGGAGAUGACCAAAGAGGCAGCAGCACGUAUUCAGAGCGCUCAAGCGAAAAAAAACGACGGUGUAACAGAAAAAGGAACCUUUCCCGCGCGUGUUCAGCGAGCGGCAGACAAGAAUGAAGCAGCGAAGAAAGGAAACGGGGAGUAACCUCAAUUCGAUGACAAGCUUCAAUGAUAACAAGCUUCAAUGAUAACGAGUAGUAAUUAAUGAUUAAUUACGAAACAGGUGUUUUAACUCCUUUAACCAUUGUCUUAGUUGUGUCAAAACUCCUCAGAGUGGAGUGCUUAGGGACUUUUAUGCAUGUACUAUCAAUAAAACGUAAGUUAAAUUAA